CGUGAACGCAGCUCGGCUGCCGCUGGCAGGAAACAAUUCUGCAAAAAUAAUCAUACUCAGCCUGGCAAUUGUCUGCCCCUAGGUCUGUCGCUCUGCCGCCGUCCACACUCGCUGCAGGGGGGAGGCGCAGAAUUUACCGCGGCAAGAACAUCCCUCCCAGCCAGCAGAUUACAAUGCUGCAAACUAAGGAUCUCAUCUGGACUUUGUUUUUCCUGGGAACUGCAGGUAAGGAACUGCAAACCGUAUUAAUAUGCUGAAACAGCACCAACUUAUAACAUGCAAAAGGAGAUGCAUUUUAAUCACUGGGAAUUUUUUUACUUUAAGAGAAAAAGUGAUGGAUUGUGAGGACCUCAAUUCUCGUAUUGAUGUUUGGCUGAUGGAUUUCACAUCUCCUGAGGCCUGGUGUUGAAUGAGACUCAGGUUUAUGUGUGUGAUGGGGGAGAAAGUCAGGGGGCAAUCUUUGCGUUUAUGAGUUUUUGUCAGCAGCUCACAAACUUGGAGAGAAAUUACAGACAUUUCACAGUUAAGCUGUGUAAAGACCAAAAUAUUAAAUAAAAAGGUGAGGGGGUGUUAAUAUUGCUUUGGCUCCAGACUUUGAAGCAAAAGUAAUUCAACUAAUAAUGAGUUCAUUAAAUAUGUGUCAUGAUAGGCGAGAGGCCAUUUCGGUUCUUUGCCAAAUGAGAAAAUUUAUAAUCUUGUAUCUGCUAAUCACAUCCACCUACCA
rnacentral:sRNA from 1 species